rnacentral:lncRNA from 1 species
UCAGACAAUACAUCUGAGUAACAGAGAGCAUGGAUAUUCCUUAGACUAUAAGAAAAUAGCAUGUGAAGAAAAAUAGAGUGUGAGGGAUAUUGUAGUGAGGUGAAAAAAGUAAAAGAAUGUUUUCUUCUUUUGAGGGUGCAGUGGUAUUAUGAAUAUUUUACUUGUUACUACACAUUAAAUUCCUCAGCAUAGUGAUAUCACUUGCUCUUCUUCGCCGUGAUUAUUUCCUUUAUUUAGAAGGGUUUCCAC